UCUCUCUAGAGUUAAGAGAGAGAAAAGGAACUAGAGAGAGACAAGGGUGGCCCUUGGUGAUGUUUUGUGGCGGUUUGCGGCGGUCAAUGGCGUCCGGAGGCAACCGAACUUGCGGGUUUCAACCCGGAACCAUUUUGUGACGCUAAAAACACAAUGGUAAGCUCCGAUUUGUCUAAAUAUUUGAUUUUAGUCGUUAAUGGAGUUGAAAACACAUCUGUCCAGAAUGUUUAACCUAUGUACGGUUGUAAAGAACAGACCGAUCCGAGGAAUCUGACCGUUGGAUCAUCUUGAUUUUUGUAUACAAGUCUUAUAACAUAUAUAUCAUCACUUUAAACGGUCGAAAUGUAAAAUAGAGCUUUUAAACUCGAGAUUUAAACUCGUUUUCAUAGCAGUUCGUAUUUGCGUUUUUAUAAAAACACAGCCCAUUAGAAUUGAUUUUCCUAGAGAUCCGACCGUUGGAUUGAGCUGAAAUUUUGACUAUAGCUUUCUGGCAUAUGGUUCUUUAGUACCUCCAAAGGAAAUUCCGAUCAGAGGUCGGAAACUAUAGUUUUGAAACUUAAUUGUUUAUAAUGAAAUUCUUGUACGAAAAUUAGGAAGUUGAGGAUGUUGUAUGGAUGGUCUAAUGGUAUUGCAUGUGCAAUCCAUGACUAGAGAAAUGUUCAUAAUUCUUGAUGUUAUGAACUAGGAAGGUAGGCAAAAGAUACUUGUACAAUCUGCUUAGAGAAUAGUAUGCACAUCAAGUGUUCGAGGAAAUGUCUAAGUGAACUUAGAAGGUGAAGUUGUAUGAAAGAACUUGGUGAAUAGGUAUAAAAUGUGAUAGUGAUAUAAUUGUUAUUAAACUUAUAUGAGGAAGGUGUAAUUGAUUGAACUCAUAUGGGUAAUCUUGUUUAUUUCAUGAUUGUGUACAAAUGUGCAUUAGUAGUUGUACUAUAUGCUUUGAAGGUGUGAUGCACACCAUACAUGGGAUUAUUUGCUUGAUUAUGAUUAGUAAAUGACCAAGUACUGAUUAUGAAAUGUGUGGACUUACUAGCAAGUAAAGAUGGUAGAAUUAUGUUAAAUUGGAUAACUUUCAAUGUAGACGUUGAUUAUAGGAUCAUGAAGGGAUUAGUAGGUGUAAAAUCGACUAUGUGUUUAUAUGUGCAUAUAACUAGGUGAUCGUGUAGUCGUAUGUACUACACAACAUGAUUAUGAAAUGUGCAUGACGUUGUUAUUAUGGUAUACCAUAUCGAUAUAAGUGUGUGUUCAUAAGUUGGAAGUCAUAUGCUAAGAAGGUUGACUUUCUAAAAGUAAAAAAUGUAUACAUAGCAUGGUUAGGAAUUUUGACACAAAUGUAAGAUUUGGGGGAUCAUACGACAUGUGUUAGUUAGAUUAUGUCUUAUGUAUGAUGGCGUAUUGGAAUUCGUUGAUGUUGAAUAAUGUGAUUAUCGGUUCAUGUCUUAUGCAUAUUAAUGAUUGACUAAUAAACGUCAAUGUAACUAAGGAUUCGAUAUGAAAGUAUUAUGAAUGAAUAUGCAUGCUACCUAUGUUGUGCAUAUGAUAGAAUGAAAGGAUAGGAAUCACAGUAGCAUGGACUCAAGCGCGGAAGGCUGCGGGUCAAGAAGAUGCAAGGAAACAAACACGAAUACAGACACUUGAGAUAUGCUUAUUAUUUGGAAUCAUAAAAGGAUGAGAAUGCAGUAGUCGUAUGAAAGUAAGAAUGACGGAAUUUGAUCAUAUGUAGUUAGUUAUGUUUGAAAUCAUAUAGAAUAAGCAAACGGGCCACAAAUACGAAAGUGAUUAAUCAAGUUGUGAAAAUUGGAUGUUGGGAAAUGAGAAUUAGAAUAGGAAUGAUUUGGGGACUUAGGAAAAUGUCUAUUCAUGUUUUUCUCAUUUUUAUUUGUUUCCAAGGCCUCGUUAAACUUCCUAAAGGUACCCCAAGCCUACGAUAGAGUUUUGCGGGCUAGAAGUAAGGACGCAACCCGUACGGGAGCUUGCGCGAAUAUGUAGCAUGCAUGUUGGUGUGUGUAAAUGUGGAUUUCAUUAUGUGUGUGAGCGAUUCUGAGUGAUUCUCGUAGGAACGAUUAUACUUGGACAUAACACACGUGUGAACGGACGGAACUUGUACAUAAGCAUGUUUAUAUACGGAAAAUGGUAUGCCUAACAAAGUAUGGUGCUUGAAAGAAAUUAAAUGGGUGUGAUUGUAUGUGUGUAUAUAAAUAAGAAUUCAUAGUAAGUGUAUGUAGUACGAACUUAUAGGUGUAUACGUGUGUAUGGGAAACACAAGUAUGUGCUCGGAUAUAUGUACAUGUACGUAUGUGAUGUAAUCUAAUGAAUGUAGAUUAAUAGAAUGUGUUUAUGUGAAGUUGUGGGAUUGCAAUAUGUUCAAAGGUACACGUUGCUAAUCAUGUCAUCGUUGAGAAUGAAAUGAAAAGUUCAGGUAUGAUAACGUUGGGUCCAAGUGAGUUGAUGUCGGGAACCAGUGGACGGGUUUGGAAGGAUGAUCAAACAAGAUAUCUUGUGUCGUUAGAAUGCAAUAUGGUCAUUUAGCUAUGUGUUUAUUAUAUAAGUAUAAUGUCACCAUUUACUAAUGUGUCGGUUGUUUAUGGUGACUGUAGGUUACACGGAUCAUUACCAUUUAUCAUGAAGGACAAGGGGGCAAAGGUCGAGUUAUAGAACAUGGAUUGUACGGAAGGGUGGUCACUUAGUUUGUAUUCACAUGUUAUAUUUGGUACAUUAAUUAAAGAAGAAUGAUGUAAUUCUU
rnacentral:lncRNA from 1 species